GCAUUUGAUAAGUUGAGAGAAAGGGUCACAAAAGCAAAAAGAUAUGGAAGCAAAACGACAACCAACAACCAGUACAAAGGCCCAUAUGAUCAUUAAAAAUUGACUGCGCCUGACAGGAAUUCAGGUGGGACAGACGGGAAGUUUACAAGAAAAAAAACUAGGAAAAUAUGAGAGAGAGAGAGAGAGAGAGAGAGAGAGAGAGAGAGAGAGAGAGAGAGAGAGAGAGAGAGAGAGAGAGAGAG